GUCUACGGCCAUGCUGCCCAGAACACACCUGAGCUCGUCUGACCUGGGAAGCUAAGCAGGGUCUGGCCUGGUUAGUUCUUGGAUGGGAGAACUCAGCUUGAAAGGCCAUUAGUCCAGGCAGGUGAAGGAG
rnacentral:rRNA from 1 species